GAAGAGUUGAUCUCGAAGAAGCUUCUUUUUUGCUGUUAACGGUUUUUUUCAUAACAGCGCUGUAGAAAUGUCCAAAUAUUGCAUAUGGAAUGUCUCUUGUAACGUUUACGUCAAAACUUCUGUCAAUUGUCAUCGAAUAAAAACAAAAAAGAGGCAGAUUUUCAAUUUUGCAUUGCGAAGAUGUUUACGAACUAGAUGUCGGUAUGGAUGAGGUAAGGCCAACCCUCUAAAAGGAUAAUACCAAUUUGUGUCAGUUGUUCACCAGUUAACCGUGCACUGAAAUUACAAACACCUUUAAGAAAGUUAUUUUGAACAGCAAUAUAAGGGCACCAACGGUUUUCAAGUAGUCUAACUUUUGAAGACAAUUCCUCAGUUUAACAGGAAAUUCAGAACUUGCUUCUUUGAGCCCAGAUAAAUUGAAGAAACGCUGCAUUUGCGAAGUAUCGAUCUUUUAAAGAAAAAAAUAUCCUCAUCUGCCGUACCAUUGUCAUAUAAACAUCAAAAAGCAGAUGUACCUAUACGAGUCUACCAAGUUGAUACUGAGGGACCAUCGACAAGUUCCGGAGUUUAACAUUGAAACAUUGUUCGAUUUUUAACACCCACGAAAGAUUAUUCUGAUCCCGAAAGUGACAACGAAAACGAUGUACAUAAAAUUUUACAUGAAUUGACUAACUUGCCAUCGCCUAGUCGUAACAAGCCUGCCGUUGAUGAAAAUAAUAUGAAGCAUCCAAAGAAAAAAAUCAGGACACAAUUCAAUGGUGGUAGAAAGGUCGAGAAUUUACCAUUAGUUCCGAGAGCAAUCACGAGAAUGCAGUUAUUUCAUAAAAGGCGCGGAUCAUGGCAUUCGGACGAAGAAACAGCUGCUCUUGGAUUGUGUUACAAAUCACCGUCCGCCUACAAAUAUUUAAGGAAUAAAGGGUUUAUAUUACCAUCACCGACAACAAUUUCCCACUGGCUGUCCAAACAGAAAUACUAACCAGAAUUGAAUAAGGCCCGUCUAAAUGUAUUAAAAAUAAAAGUAGAAACAAUGUCAAAGCAAGAUAAGCAAUGCGUGUUAGUUUUCGAUGAAAUGGCCAUUAAACGACAACUUGAAUAGAAGGUUUCAUAGAAGGAUAUGAAGAUUUAGGGGAAUAUGGUCGAACCAGCAACCCGGCAAGCGAAUUAUCCUCGCAAUGGAUAAUUCCUCUUUCAUUUUAUUUAUCAUGCAACGAUGUAAAGGCCAAUAAUUUAGUAAAAAUAAUAAAAUCGACAUUUGCGUCGAUAAGCGAUAUUGGACUGAAUAUUGUUGCAAUUGUUUGUGAUCAGUCCCCUACAAACCAAAAAUUAUUUAAUUUAUUAAACGUAGCACCAAAUAAACCUUCUUUCAAAGUAGGCAAUAUGAGUUAUUUUGCACUAUACGAUACACCACAUCUCGUAAAAAGUGUACGAAAAUUUUAUUUUGAAUAAUAGCUGUAUUUCAUUUUCGGAUAUUCGUGGAGUAUACGAAUUGGAUAAAAGUAAUACCACGCAUAGGGCAUUGCCGAAACUCACGGAGACGCAUAUAAUGCCCAACACAUUUCAGAAAAUGAAUUGAACUGGCUCUUCACGUUUUAAGUCAUAGCAUUAGUGCGGCAAUACUUAGCAAGUGUGUAUAGCAAACAAAUUAGAACUAAGAAGAAAAGUUGUGCUGCUCUAUCGGAGCAGAACUUUUUCGGAUUUGAUGCCCUAAGAAGAGCGACUGAAGUGAUGAAAAACAUCAAAAAAGUUUCAAAGAGGAGCACCUUGUUUCGAUGGCAUACUACUUGCCAUCAAUUCGGUGAUAGGGUUGUAUCGACAACAAAAAGAAAAAGGCUAUAAUUAUCUCCUAACCUCAAAACUAAAUCAGCAUAUUCUUGAAAAUCAAUUUUCUAUAUAUAGACAGCGUGCAGGAUAUGCAAAAAAUCCCACCGUGGGUAACUUUCAAGCUGCCUUUAAAACCAACGUUGUAUGGAACCUUUUAAAACCACCAAAGACAGGAAAUUAUGAAGUAACUUCUGAAGCUGUCUUAAAUGUGCAGACAAAACAUAAUUUUUCGGAUAAGGUUUUUCAUCACCUUAUCUUUAAGCACAUCAUCGAUGUGAAGUACUGAUAGCGAUGAUGAAGAUGUGCAACAGACCUGCUUAGAAGAUUGUGCCACGGUAUAUUUCGCAGGAUUCAUUAUAAAAAAGUGUGUUGAUAAAUUUUCAUGUGAAAUGUGCCGUGAAUUAUUGACGAAAGAAGGUGAACUAACAUACAAUAAUGACAUUCUAAUUUUUAAACGAUGUUUAUUUAAAUUUUUGGGAGACUGGUUUUCUGUAUGUGAAGACCAGCGAAUUUUUAUGCUUCACUUACUAAUUAGAACAUUAAUAUACAAAGAAUGUAAAAAAGUUUCGCAAAACUUUAAAAGCCGUGGUAGAACCAAUAAAGUUACUAUUUUACAACAUAAGUAAUUUGUAAUUAUAAGUAAUUAGCGGGAUUUCUUGUUUUUUUGUUAUUAUUCAUGAUUUUCAUUAUUUUCAGUUAACACAAUAAAGUCCCCCUUAAAAAUGUUCAUGAAUGUUAUAAUAAAAUCAGAAAUACUUCGUUUUUAUUUAUUUAAUUGAUUCUAAUA